rnacentral:rRNA from 1 species
CAGCAGCCGCGGUAAGACAGAGGAUGCAAGCGUUAUCCGGAAUGAUUGGGCGUAAAGCGUCUGUAGGUGGCUUUUCAAGUCCGCCGUCAAAUCCCAGGGCUCAACCCUGGACAGGCGGUGGAAACUACCAAGCUGGAGUACGAUAGGGGCAGAGGGAAUUUCCGGUGGAGCGGUGAAAUGCGUUGAGAUCGGGAAGAACACCAACGGCGAAAGCACUCUGCUGGGCCGACACUGACACUGAGAGACGAAAGCUAGGGGAGCAAAUGGGAUUAGAUACCCGCGUAGUCCCUGUCUCUUAUAA